CGCUGUUGUAGCUGCACGGAAACACUGACGUGCCAGCAGGUGAAGGCAAUCAGCGGCUUCUGCUGUGACUGGUCACAAACUUUAUUUUUUUGGAAAUCGAUCUAAAGAAACAACUUUACAGUAAGCCCUUCCCCUCUCACCGGCCGCUACAUACGUAGGUAGGUUGCACGAAAAUUGUUUGCUAGCGCCGAUCGCGCCGUUAACGCUGAACUCCAUUGCUAAGUUACUGCCGAGUGGCUGAUUGAAAAGCCCUUCCAUAAACGUCCCUGUUGAUUAUGUGUAUGUAUACGUAUAUGUCUCAAAACUGCCAAACGUAAUGGUAUCCAGUAAAGUGUCAUGAAUGCUACAUGAUGAUUUGAACUGUUACUGAAACUAUGAAGUGUAAAUUAACUUGACGGCCAUCUUGAACUGAAAAUGGAAUUGUUUGGAAUGCGUUUACCGGUAAACUUUGACUGACACGUUGAUGCCUGUACAGGUCAGGUUUUUUAUAGACCCUUUUGGUCCCGCACCAAGCAAGGAAGCCCUUCAGAAGCGGCAGCGAACUGGUAGGACUAGUAGCUGUCCUUUUGGCUCAGUGGAUAGUGGACUAAAGGAUGGAGGAUCGUUCCUCAAUCCACCCUUACCCCAGAGAGUCGACUUUUAUACCCAGCUAAGAUUGCUGUGAUCCUCUGUUUGUUAAAAAUGGUCCUUUUUGUUUGUCAUUUUGUUCCCCUUAACUUGCCCCCCCCCCCCCCCCCCAAUAAUUACAAUAUAUAAUCUUACUGACAAUUUCAAGACAGUUUUCCUUACAUAGCCUUAAUAUAACCCCUAAGAAAACGAAUCAACCUUGGUCCAGUGUAUUGAGCUGUGUGAGAAAAGUCAAAUCAAUCUAACUUAUGAGGGUCAAACGUCGGGGUUUAAUAAUACAAGACAGUUCUGACACAAACGUUCUGACACAUCUUCACCAUGUUGGUGUAGGCUUCAAGCAGUUGAAGAGCUCAAAUUCAUAGACACUUUUGUCACCCUCUUCUGGCCGUUAGCGGUAAUUACAAGGCGACGUGAGAACACGCCCCUGGGAAAAGCAUUUCCCAAAACAUCAACCUCAAUGAGGGACGCUGGACACACGUGCACGGAGGUGCAAAGAUGGUGGCAAAAACGCAUCUAGGGGUCUUUUAUCUGUGCCUGAAAUGCCAUGAAGAGGAAACGUGCAAUAAAACGUAUCUCUGUAGCAAAACAGGAAGUGCAGACGGGACCAUUAAACAUAAAGUUAAUAACUUAAAGGAAAAGGACAGUGAGAGGAUGAAACUCUUGUCAAGCUUGUCACUCAAAGGGAUGGAGGAGGCUAGAAUGUCCUUGGUACUUGAAGGGAACAAGGAGACCAAGAAAGCUUUUACAAAUCAAGCAUUGAGCAUCAUGAUGCAUCAAAGAUGGGUGAAAUGUCAACACUGAAGACCGACUAAAUGGUUGCAUCGCUCAUACAAGAAACCGUAAGAGUAAACAUUUCUCUCAUAGAAGAGGAUCUAUUUGAAGGACUUAUGGUUCUUGAAGAAGACAACCAUGUGGAUGCCAUUGUGACAACCCCUCAAGUCGAAAUGAACUUGACAAAACCAUUCAAGAGGUUAAAAAGAUCCUGGGGGCAGGAUACUUUUUCAUUUUUAGACUUGGAACCCAAUCAGGCCAAAGUGGGAGGAAGUGGCACUCCGAUGCUACGGCAGCUAAGGGAAUCCUUGUUCUCCAAAGCCUUCAGGAAGAAAACUGAGGAAUAUGUGCAGUUUUCACAUAUCAAACUGAAAGGAAACUGUCCUGCAUGGUAGGAUCUGUAAACUACACCACAAGACAAACCGGUCAGGAAUCUAUUUAAAGAUAUUUCAACAUUGCUAAUGUAUGCACUGGAAGCAAAGCUGGAUGGCAAAAUGGAUUGAGUGGCCCAAAACGAAUGGGAAACAUAUAACUGACACAUAUUGUAUGGUACUAUGUGGUUAUUUUGCUUAGUUUAUUUUGUGUUGACAAACUUGUGCUCAACAUUUCAGCCCAGUAGUUGACAGUAACGUGCAAAUUAGGGAUCGGCCAAUAUGGGUUUUUUUCGGGCUGAAGGAUUUCAUGUGUCUUUGUCUCCUAUUUUUUGUAUCUCAUGUAUGUUUGUCUCCUAUUUUUUGUGUCUCACUCAUAACUAUGCACUACAUUUAAUCAAGUAGAACCAAGCAGCCUUGGGCAAAUCACAGGACACAAUCGCUUUCAGGCACAUACAGUUCCGGAGCUCUCCUACACAUCCACAAUUUUGACUAACAACAGAUAACGGGAGAACAUGACGUCGGCAGCCGCAGCCUGUCGAUAACGGCUGGCUCCACCCCACCCGCCCUGCGUUGGUGAGAAGACGUCGGCCGAGGAGAGGAGGGGGGGCCACCUGUGAUACGCCAGAGAUCUACCGACAUUUCUUAGCAUAAUAAAAGCCGGGCAGGGACAGUUAGCUGUACUCAUUUGUUCUGACCUGUAAAGUAAAGCCUACGUCUCUGCAGGUGUUAGGGGAAGACUUAUGAGCCCGGAGCGCCGUGUAAUCUGACUGGUCUGAGAGUAAACCAUAUAAUUGACAA